CCUACGGGUGGCAGCAGUGAGGAAUAUUGGUCAAUGGACGCAAGUCUGAACCAGCCAUGCCGCGUGCAGGAAGACGGCUCUAUGAGUUGUAAACUGCUUUUGUACGAGGGUAAACGCAGAUACGCGUAUCUUUUUGCAAGUAUCGCACGAAUAAGGAUCGGCUAACUCCGUGCCAGCAGCCGCGGUAAUACGGAGGGUUCAAGCGUUAUCCGGAUUUAUUGGGUUUAAAGGGUGCGUAGGCGGUCGGAUAAGUUAGAGGUGAAAUCCCGAGGCUCAACCUCGGAAUUGCCUCUGAUACUGUGCGGCUAGAGAGUAGUUGCGGUAGGCGGAAUGCAUGGUGUAGCGGUGAAAUGCUUAGAGAUCAUACAGAACACCGAUUGCGAAGGCAGCCUACCAAGCUACUUCUGACGUUGAGGCACGAAAGCGUGGGGAGCAAACAGGAUUAGAUACCCUAGUAGUC
rnacentral:rRNA from 1 species